GAUGAACGCUAGCGACAGGCUUAACACAUGCAAGUCGAGGGGCAGCACGAUGUAUCAGUACAUUGGUGGCGACCGGCGCACGGGUGAGUAACGCGUAUGCAACCUACCUAUCAGAGGGGAAUAACCCGGCGAAAGUCGGACUAAUACCGCAUAAAACAGGGGUUCCACAUGGAAAUAUUUGUUAAAGAAUUAUCGCUGAUAGAUGGGCAUGCGUUCCAUUAGAUAGUUGGUGAGGUAACGGCUCACCAAGUCCACGAUGGAUAGGGGUUCUGAGAGGAAGGUCCCCCACACUGGUACUGAGACACGGACCAGACUCCUACGGGAGGCAGCAGUGAGGAGUAUUGGUCAAUGGGCGAGAGCCUGAACCAGCCAAGUCGCGUGAAGGAUGAAGGAUCUAUGGUUUGUAAACUUCUUUUAUAUGGGAAUAAAGUGAGGAACGUGUUCCUUUUUGUAUGUACCAUAUGAAUAAGCAUCGGCUAACUCCGUGCCAGCAGCCGCGGUAAUACGGAGGAUGCGAGCGUUAUCCGGAUUUAUUGGGUUUAAAGGGCGAGUAGGCGGGAUUGCAAGUCAGAUGUGAAAACUAUGGGCUCAACCCAUAGACUGCAUUUGAAACUGUAGUUCUUGAGUGAUGGAGAGGCAGGCGGAAUUCCCGGUGUAGCGGUGGAAUGCGUAGAUAUCGGGAGGAACACCAGUGGCGAAGGCGGCCUGCUGGACAUUAACUGACGCUGAGGCGCGAAAGCGUGGGGAGCAAACAGGAUUAGAUACCCUGGUAGUCCACGCUGUAAACGAUGAUUAAAAGGUGUGGGGGGUACUGACCCCUUCCGUGCCGGAGUAACACAAUAAGUAAUCCACCUGGGGAGUACGGCCGCAAGGUUGAAACUCAAAGGAAUUGACGGGGGCCCGCACAAGCAGUGGAGUAUGUGGUUUAAUUCGAAGCAACGCGAAGAACCUUACCAGGGCUUGACAUCCCGCUAACGAAGUAGAGAUACAUUAGGUGCCCUUCGGGGAAAGCGGAGACAGGUGGUGCAUGGUUGUCGUCAGCUCGUGUCGUGAGAUGUUGGGUUAAGUCCCGCAACGAGCGCAACCCUUAUUGUUAGUUGCUACGCAAGAGCACUCUAGCGAGACUGCCGUUGACAAAACGGAGGAAGGUGGGGAGGACGUCAAAUCAUCAUGCCCUUUAUGUCCUGGGCUACACACGUACUACAAUGGCGGUCAUACAGAGGGAAGCAAAACAGCGAUGUGGAGCAAAACCCUAAAAGCCGUCUCAGUUCAGAUUGCAGGCUGCAACCCGCCUGCAUGAAGUCGGAAUUGCUAGUAAUCGCGGAUCAGCAUGCCGCGGUGAAUAAAAUCCCGGGCCUUGCACU
rnacentral:rRNA from 1 species